rnacentral:rRNA from 1 species
AGUGAACGCUGGCGGCAGGCCUAACACAUGCAAGUCGAGCGGCAGCACAGUAAGAUCUUGCUCUUACGGGUGGCGAGUGGCGGACGGGUGAGGAAUACAUCGGAAUCUUCUUUUUCGUGGGUGAUAACGUAGGGAAACUUACGCUAAUACCGCAUAUGACCUACGGGUGAAAGCAGGGGAUCUUCGCACCUUGCGCGAUUGAAUUAGCCGAUGUCGGAUUAGCUAGUUGGCGGGGUAAAGGUCCACCAAGGCGACGAUCCGUAGCUGGUCUGAGAGGAUGAUCGGCCACACUGGAACUGAGACACGGUCCAGACUCCUACGGGAGGCAGCAGUGGGGAAUAUUGGACAAUGGGCGCAAGCCUGAUCCAGCCAUACCGCGUGGGUGAAGAAGGCCUUCGGGUUGUAAAGCCCUUUUGUUGGGAAAGAAAAGCAGCAGGUUAAUACCCCGCUGUUCUGACGGUACCCAAAGAAUAAGCACCGGCUAACUUCGUG